rnacentral:rRNA from 1 species
CCUACGGGAGGCAGCAGUGGGGAAUUUUGGACAAUGGGCGCAAGCCUGAUCCAGCAAUGCCGCGUGAGUGAAGAAGGCCUUCGGGUUGUAAAGCUCUUUUGUCAGGGAAGAAACGGUGAGGGCUAAUAUCCCUUGCUAAUGACGGUACCUGAAGAAUAAGCACCGGCUAACUACGUGCCAGCAGCCGCGGUAAUACGUAGGGUGCAAGCGUUAAUCGGAAUUACUGGGCGUAAAGCGUGCGCGGGCGGUUUUGUAAGUCUGUCGUGAAAUCCCCGGGCUCAACCUGGGAAUUGCGAUGGAGACUGCAAGGCUAGAAUCUGGCAGAGGGGGGUAGAAUUCCACGUGUAGCAGUGAAAUGCGUAGAGAUGUGGAGGAACACCGAUGGCGAAGGCAGCCCCCUGGGUCAAGAUUGACGCUCAUGCACGAAAGCGUGGGGAGCAAACAGGAUUAGAUACCCUGGUAGUCCACGCCCUAAACGAUGUCUACUAGUUGUCGGGUUUUAAUUAACUUGGUAACGCAGCUAACGCGUGAAGUAGACCGCCUGGGGGAGGUACGGUCGCGAAGUAAGUUAAACGUUAAAUUAAGUAAGUUAGUUACGGCGUUGAGACGUGCCGACGGACGACGACGAGGGAGGAGG